rfam:Oryza glaberrima chromosome 1 Oglab01_0228_1, whole genome shotgun sequence.
UUUAAGUGCAAACAUAAGUUUUCGCGCUCAACUUUGAUCGUCCGUCUUAUUUGAAAUUUUUUUACAAUUAGUAUUUUUAUUGUUAUGAGAUGAUAAAACAUGAAUAAUACUUUAUUCGUUACUUAUGUUUUUAAUUUUUUUCAAAAAAUUUUCAAAUAAGACGGGCAUUUAAAGUUGUGCGCGGAAAAUCAUGGCUGCAUUUAAA